CUAGCAUCAACACUCUGGCAUUAACUGUUGCUGAUGUAAAAUAAACGUUUUGCGAAACUGUUUGAGGCCAAAAACAUUAGCUAAAGUAACGCGUUAGCAGACCUGUGUUUGACCAAGGAUGAUGUCUGCCUUUCUCAAACACUCACCUUCGGCUUCCACAUGGGUUUGGCAGUAUCUUGGAGGGAUUGGUUCGAGAGGUCAUCCCCACGUUUGCGGCAUUUUACUUCCCCGCUCUUCUCAAAGAACGAGAAGAGAGUGGCCUGGAGUGGUGUGCCAGGCUAGAGGACAGAUUCUCAAACAAUCAUGCAUUCAAUAACUCACCGAAUCAAGUCAACACCAAUCCAGCUGAUGCAUCUCUGAAGAUUUCUGAGUGAGUCUCAUCUCAGAACAUUAUCUACACCCAAGGAGAGGGACAACAUCAGACCGCUUUUUUCCCACAUAUUUAAUUGAAAGAAAAGAACAAGAGAGACCAAGAAAAGUCUUAUGGAGAAAAUAAAUGUGGCUCAAUUGCCGUGUUGUUUUAUUGCUCAUUGUAAUGGAUCUCGUCCUCCUCUUCUGAGGAGUAACGAGAAGGAUCGGAGGACCAAAACGCAGCGUGGUAAGUGUCCAUAAUGUUUAAUAAAAAACAA